AGAGGUGGUUACGUAAACGUUUUAAUCAGCGCGGCGCUUGUAACAAAGUAAACAAAUCAACGUGUUCUUCGAACUUGAAAGUUGGCGGAGCUAAACCAAGGGGCUGAUUCGAUCUUUAAUCGAGCUGUCACAACCUGGAGAAAGGUUUAUCUGAAUCUUGGGAAAUCUGCAGGUAAAAUACCAGUAAGAUGUCAAAGCUUAAAUGGAGCUUUAUUUUGGCCGGAUGGUACAUGUAAUUUAAAAAUUCUAUUUUUCCCUCAUCCAACUCAUGGAAUGGCAUCCAUCCUAUUGUUAGUGCUACCAGGGGGAAAACAGGAAUGGUGUAUUACAACCUAACACUGGAUGUUGAGAAGUUUGGCAGUCCUAUACAUUCACCAUGUUCAAAGUCCGAGAAAAUGUUCUGCUGGAAAUAUGGGGUAACAUUCAGCCUGUACACACAUAGCCCAGUUAUGCUCAUGCUUGGAGAAUUCUCAAAUAAAAAAAAUAAUUUUGUAUGCAGUAUCUUCAGAAUUUUCACAAACGGGGCUCCAAAAAAAUUUUGAAGAGAAAACAAGCUGAUGUCCAUGUACUCGAAGAAUCCCUGGCAAGAGAACUUAGUGAAAUGAAAGAAUGCACAGACUUAACAUUUUAAGAUUUGUUGGUACAAAGUGACAUUGAAAUGGAUUUAUCUUUCCAAAGCUUGAACUUUUUGCUGUUAAGGAUUUUGCUUAUUUUUAUUUAUAGCUGUAAAUAAAAACA